UACGUAGGGUGCAAGCGUUGUCCGGAAUUAUUGGGCGUAAAGAGUUCGUAGGCGGCGCGGUAAGUCAGGUGUGAAAUCUCGGGGCUUAACUCCGAAACUGCAUUCGAUACUGCCGUGCUUGAGGACUGGAGAGGAGACUGGAAUUUACGGUGUAGCGGUGAAAUGCGUAGAUAUCGUAAGGAAGACCAGUGGCGAAGGCGGGUCUCUGGACAGUUCCUGACGCUGAGGCACGAAGGCCAGGGGAGCAAACGGG
rnacentral:rRNA from 1 species